rnacentral:lncRNA from 1 species
AACAAAGCUGGAGCAAUAUUGCGAAUGUUGCAUCAUUCUUAUAAGUUUAGUCAGUUAAGAUCGAUUUUCGAACUGUUCACGUAUUUCUAAGCGGAAUAAAACGUAUUUUAAGGAAUAUAGUGGUUUGAUUUAAGUAAAAAGACUAAUUAUCUGUCCCUAAUCUAACAUCAGAAGUGGGAUUAUGCCCCAGUGUGCCCAAAAGUAGUGAAAAGUGAAGUUUUUGAACAUUAAGACAGUAUUGCGUAACAUGACGAAAUGUGCCAAUUUCUGACGAUACCGAUUUUGAUCUAUCAGAAGAAUAAUUUCUCCUGUGUAUUAGUGAUCGUUAAAGGAUAAAUAAACAAUAAAACAAUUUGUGAGUGCCUUCAAUAUGAAAACAUUGCAAUGAAGAGAAGACAUUGUUCCCCGUCGAAGUGUGUAUGAGAUUCAAAUGGAAAUGUAUCAACAAAUAUCGAGCCGAUUUCUGAAUAUUCUAAAGGUACAGUACAGUCACAGUACACCGAAAAGAAGCAUUUAUUAAUUUAUUCGCUAUCCAACAACGACAAAUUGCUGACUUAGCGAAACAAACAAAGAUGGCGAUGAUGUCAUCGUCGUAUUUGAAGCCAACGCCUCAUCGUAGCAGAUGUAUCUUGUGCGCAAGCUUCAUUUUGUUACUCAACCUGUAAACGAGCAAUCUACGAAACUACAAUCAAGACAACAGCGUAUACGCAAUUCACGAAUGGCUGAAAGACUACGAUGCGUGACGAAAUUCAUCGAAAUACAAAGAAGUUAAAGAUCGAGUCGGACCGAGUCAACGAUAAGAUGACGAUUAUUAAACAAGCAUGAGUUUAAAAACAUAGAGUAAUCAAUACUGUCGCCGAACGCCGGACGUUUAUGAUGACCUCAUCACCGCUUUUUCCGAGAGAGAUGGCUACAGCUCAGGCAACUGUUAUUGUUGAGCAAAGAAAACCAACUUGGAUCACGGUGCUUCCCGCUGCUUGCCGCUGCAGAAGAUAAACAUAAUCCAUUCGAGAGUUGGUCACAUACCAGAUGUGUUACGUCAUGGAUCAAGUUCCAGAUUAUUGGUUCCUUAGCAUUUUCCGCGGCGACGCGACGCACCGCCACCGAUGUCGUCAAUCCGGAGAAGGCCAUUGCAGAAGCUGAAGGACGAUUGGAAAAUAGCCCGAAUAAGCGAGCUCAGCACUUUAAUGUCUAGCACAGCCAAACUGAUUUGUUUACUUCUGAACAAAAGUUGAGUAUUAAAAAGUUUUAGUAAUAUUGAGUAUAUUAUUAAUCAAACUAUUUUAUUUUUAUUUGUUUAUGGUUGGAGACCUCAUGACCGAGAAAGUUUCUCAGCUGACAGACGACUGUAAGGCCCCACAGUUCAUGCAUUGUUACCUAAGGACAGAUAUGCGCUGCAUCAGCAACAUAUCAGCAAGAUCGGCGGACCACCGUUGCCGUUCGUAAACAACUAUGACCGUGGCCUUCGACAAUAUAAAAAAGCUAAGUAUUAGACCAUUUGGCAUACGGUCUUACAAACGAUUUAAUUUAGUUCUUACUGGUAAUGUAAGAAUUGGUAAUUUAAUAAGUUGUCAGACAAAACUUAUUUCAGAAUUGAAUUUAAUUCUUUAUUCUCAUUUAAUAAGUUGUCAUUUAAAAGUGGAAAACUUUUAGAAGGGUUAUAAAAGUUAAUCUGUACAAGAAAAAUAAUAAUGCUAUAGUUAAUUUUAAAUUUCAAUGAAAAUAGUGGCAGUCAGUUUCCUUUGUAGUUAAGCUAAAAUGCCCAUAUAUUGCCCGAGAUUGUUUUGACAGUUUAUACAGAUUGUUAAAUAGUACAUUACCAAGUUAUGAAGCGUAUUGAAAUCACUAAAAUAAUCUAAAGAUGCAAUCGAACUAAUUUUACUUCGAACAGUUGGAACCGAAUGCUAAAAAAUGUUUUAACACUAGAAUUUACUUUCUGGAAAGAAAUUUAUCGUUUAUUAUGAGAACUUACAAAAAAAAAUAAAACAUGCAAAAAUGUGAAAUUAUCGUUUAGUUAAGUUCUGGAAGCUACUUGAACGAAAAUUGUUUCGUGUUUGAAGAUAUUUUUAUAGACAAACAAAAAGGAUUUUGCUUAGGUUCUCCGCUAAGACAUUUACUUGCAGAAAGUUUUCUGUCUGAAUUUGCUGAAACACUUUUCAAAAUCAUAACAUUUUGAUAUUUUAUUAUCUUGUAUGAUCAUGUAGAUCAUGUUUUUAUCUUCUUUUAUAUCAGUUGAAUGAGUCUGAAACUGAGAAGCUGAAACUGAAUGAAACUGAGUACUAACUAAGAUAAUAAAAUUAAUUUCUAAGAUCUAACAAUGUUAAAAGUAGACUAGAGAAAUUAGAAUUUGAUAUCUUGUGAAAGCUGAUGUUUACAGAUGUUAUCAUAAUUUUAAACAUUCAAUACAACAUAAAUUAGCAGCGUACAAAUCAAUGGUUCAUUCAGCAUGUUCUCUCGCACUAAGUCAAGCUAUCAGAACUAAAGAAUUAGAAACAAUACAAUAAGACAAAACACUAGGUUUAAUAAAAGCAAUAAAUAAAAUAAUGAGAAGUUAAAUGGUACAGCGGUAGCAUUUGAACCGUCUUAGGCCAUAUCAGGUUUACUUUUUAAUGUAAAUAUAGGAAAACAACACUAUCAAUUUAUAAGUUGAACUGUUCAGAAUGCAAUGUCUGUUGUAUAGGCCAGACCGGUAGAAAUUUAGAAGGUAGAUUCAAAGAACAUAGAACAUCUUUUAUAUAAAAGAAAUGUUUCUUCUUGGCCGAUGAAAAAAUCCAUAAGUACUAAAGUUUCUUUUAGUUGCGGCUUUUGACGAUGUGGUAAAUUUCAAUUGUCCACAGCCAACAUUCUCAUUUUAGAGUUGGGUAAAUGAAAAAGAGUAAAAAAAAAGAAAAUGAAAUUACGCUAAUCAUUUCAUAGAAUCAGGCCAUCCAUUUUCAGAUGGCAAGUGCAUUCAAAUAAUGCAAGUGUUUAGAAAGACGCAGUAGAUAAGACUAUUAGAAUUCAUCGGAAUUUACGAGUAUAGAAAACAGACUUUAAAAAAAAGACAAAAUGCAAGUCCAGACAGAGCUGGGAGCUUAUCAGGUCGAGCUGUAUUUUAUAAGACAAAGCAUUUUUUUUGUUUGUUUAUUUUAGACAUACGCAAGCUGCAUGUGUUAUUUUAUUUUACGUUUUCUUUUGAAGAACCAUUCUGGGUACCUAUAUCCAAUAAAAUGCUUAUGCAAAAUGAUAACAAUUAGGGAAUCAAUUUAUAUCCACUUGAUUUGUUUUUAAGUGUGUGAAAAGGAAAUACAUCUCUUUUCAAAAAUAAUUAAAGUAAAUGACUUUAUUCUUGAAAUGUUUAUAUGGUGGUGUACCUACCAUCAGAAUUGAUUAAAACAAUUUUAGGAAAAUAUUGUACAACUCAAACUUGUACCUAAGCCUGUAGCAAAAAAAUAGAGUAUUUUGUAUCUGUGGCUUAGAUAAUCGACAGGCAUUCGCUGGGAAAGCAAUGUAAAAUUACAAUAAUUGGAUAUAAUCAGUCAGGUAAAACAACCCUUAAUACCAUUGCUGUAAAUGUCAGGAGUGGACGAGCAUACUCAAAUGAAAAAUGUAUGAUCGUAACGCAGUUAUAGUAGAGAAUAACCAGUUUAGUGGAGGCAAAUUAGGCCCUUGAUACAAAGGACCGUUUAAGAUAACGGCUUGUCUGCCUAACGAGCACUAUGCAAUGAUUGUUCUCGUCAGGCUAUAUUUAAAGGUCCCUGUUUUGACAGGCUAUAUUUAAAGGUCCCUGUUUUGACAGGCUAUAUUUAAAGGUCCGUUUUGACAGGCUAUAUUUAAAGGUCCCUGUUUUGACAGGCUAUAUUUAAAGGUCCCUGUCUAACAGGCUAUAUUUAAAGGUAGUUGUUUAACAGGCUAUAUUUAAAGGUCCCUGUUUAGCAGGCUAUAUUAGAGGUCCCUGUGUAUCAGGCUGUGUUAAAAGGUCCCUGUUUAGCAGGCUAUACUUAAAGGUCCCUGCGUGGCAGGCAUAAAUUGAUUUUAUUUUAAAGUUUCUGAUUCAACAGGUUAUACUUAAAGGUCCCUGCGCGGCAGGCAUAAAUUGAUUAUAUUUUAAGGUUUCUGAUUCAUCAGGCUAUACUUAAACCUCCCUGCUAGGCAGGCAUGUACAAGGUCCCAAACCUCUGGUUUAGGCAUAGUUUUACGAACAUAAACUUAGGUUAUGUAAAACGUCAAGAAUUUAUAUUGUGGCUAAGUUACUUUUAUUUUGGAAAGUUGGAUCCUUAAACUAGUUUUGUUUAGUCUUAACCCCUCAGAGGUUAAUAUGGCAAGCCUUGAAAUUUUUGUUUUGCUUUGAUAUUGUAAAAGUAACUGCCAGUAAAAUCAGUUAAGGAAAGUUUGUCUUCAAGUUUAAUUCAGAUUAAUUCUGAUUUGUUCCCCGAAUAUAUUUUGAACAGUAAGUGUUCUAAAAUAUUUGCAGAGUACCGCUGUCAACGUUUACACGCUGUCAUGUGUUCAAACUGCAAACGGUGCGAGGACACCCCGACGUCAGGAAGGCCGUGAUAGCUGGCUUCUCUAAAUUACGUCAGCUUACACCUGAUCUCCGAGACCGCCGCAGCGUGGCCCUUCUUCGAAAAACAAAGCUGGAGCAAUAUUGCGAAUGUUGCAUCAUUCUUAUAAGUUUAGUCAGUUAAGAUCGAUUUUCGAACUGUUCACGUAUUUCUAAGCGGAAUAAAACGUAUUUUGAGGAA